rnacentral:rRNA from 1 species
UACGGAAGGUCCGGGCGUUAUCCGGAUUUAUUGGGUUUAAAGGGAGCGUAGGCCGGAGAUUAAGCGUGUUGUGAAAUGUAGAUGCUCAACAUCUGCACUGCAGCGCGAACUGGUUUCCUUGAGUACGCACAAAGUGGGCGGAAUUCGUGGUGUAGCGGUGAAAUGCUUAGAUAUCACGAAGAACUCCGAUUGCGAAGGCAGCUCACUGGAGCGCAACUGACGCUGAAGCUCGAAAGUGCGGGUAUCGAACAGGAUUAGAUACCCUGGUAGUCCGCACGGUAAACGAUGGAUGCCCGCUGUUGGUCUGAAU